AUGUGCCACCUCUGCCAACUGCUGGUCCGGUCUGGAGACACAGUAGUGCAAGAGGCUGCAGUGUCAGCCAGAGAUGGCAAGCCACCUGACACAGAGUCUCCUGGUCCAGGAGUCAAUAUGGGGCUUUUGGACCGUCUCUGACAAAGGCUGACUCAGACUAUUGGAUGGACACCUCUCCAAACGCACGGGACAAAUCUGGACUCUAGCCAGCCAGGCCCCACGGACUCUUCUGCCCCAGACACAGAGAAGCAGAAGGAGGCCCAAAAACAAGACCCGGGACCACAAACCCCAGCUGCAGGAGUGGGCAGCCACUGCAGCACUUUCUGUGCUGAGCCUCCUGAUCCAGGCACCAAACGAAAGGCCUAUUCGUCACCCAGGGGACAGCUCGCCCCAAUCAGCGAGGACGAGGAAAGGCCAAGGAAGACCAGAAGCCUUGCAUGCGUGAGGGACAUGGAUGAGACUGCCCUGAGGAAGGACAUUGGCAGCCGCUUCCCAGCACUCCACUCCAUGGAGGAAGCAGACGGGAGGCGCACCAUGGAGCUCGAGGUCCGCCAGCUCUGCUCCAACACCCUGCAGUCCCUGGGUGACUCCCCCAGAAAGGCCAAUGUUUUAUGGCCUGGGCUGCUGCUUCAACUGAGCCCAGCAGCCCAUGGGCCAGCCCUGCCUCUCCUCCUGCAGACAUCGGUUAGGGUGGUAAAGAGGAUGCAGGAGGAAGGCAGACUGCCCUUGGCCAGAAGGUUUGGCAAGGAGAACAGAGGGUGUCGGUCAAGCCCCAGGGCCACUCUACCACAGGAGCUGCUGGCUCGGCUGCUGGUGCUCGGUGCAUUUUCGUAUAUGAUGGUGCAGGUCAGAAGGGCAGCCAUGUUCCUCCUCUUCCAGCUGAUAAGCAUGUUCCAGGCCGGGUCGGGCCGAUUCUGGGAUAACUGCGUGAUGGAUAUGCUCCUCUAAGUGGAAGAUCACAAUUCCUGCUUCUGCCAGAGGGAGUGGGAGCAGCAGCUGCUGCAGUUCCUGGAAGACCUUCUCUUCUUCAUCUCGGACCAUACGUGGCUGGGCUGGUUCAUCGCUAGUAUCAGGCGCCAGCUGGCUCACAGUGAUAAGCAGCCUGACAAGUGCAGUAGCUUUCUCUACAAGUGCUGGGGCACCAGGCUGAUGUUUUUUCCAGCAGAGAGCAUCAAGCCCCAGCUAUGGCUUCUGGUGGAGACAGUCGAUUUCUGAGAAGAAGAGGAAAGAGAGGGGAGAUUCUCCCGAGCGCUUGGGCUGUGUGCCAGGCAACACCUAGGUGAGAUUUUCACCAUCCUGGAGCACUGGGAGGAGUUCGUCAGCAGGGUGCAGCUCCAGCCUUCUGCCGGUGGCCCUCUGGAGGAGCCAGCUUCCAUUAAGCAGCUGAGAAGCCUCCUGCUCCUCACCUAUGGGCACGUGGUCCACGCAGGCCCCACGGAUCUCAUCUGAGAGAGCAUAGGCUGCAAGAUCCUGUCUCCCAUGGGGCAACACUAUUUUCUGAGCCCACACGACCCACUGGUGAGAACUGCUUUUGUGAGAAGCCUUGUGCUGGUGGGUGAAGCUGUCCCCAAGUGAGCAGGAUUCCCUUGGUGGGCCAGGACACAUACACCAUGCUGUACCCCCUGCUGGAGAUCCUCAGAGGCAAGGACCUGGCUCAGCUGCAGAGCCCCAUCACCAGCAUGCCCUGCUGGCCAUCUCAUACUUAGGGAAAUUCAAGCCUCGCCUGUCUAAGGAACAGGAGGCUGAGACCAUCAGCCCUUGUAUCACCAGCGCCAUGAUUCAGCGCCCAGCCCUGGUGAAGCUGAGCGGGACUGAGGUGGCAGAAAGCUCUGCUAUCCGGGCAGAGUCUCUCCAACAACUGCCCUGGGAUGGCCUGGAUCUUGUGCUGCAGACGUUUCUGGAGCUGCACUUGACCCCCACAACGCUACUGCAUCUGUUUCUGCACUUGCAGCCGUGGAUCUGCUCUCCCUGGGCCCAGGAGAGGAGCCGAGCUGUGAGAGCCAGUGCCCGUCUCUUCAUGUUCUAUCGCUUCAAAGCCAUCACAAAGGACCUGAAACCCAUGGCAGAGCAGGGCUACAUGGCCGGGCUGCUGACAAGCCAGGCCUUCAAUGUUCAGGAGGCCACCAGAUACUGGGCAUCUCAGGCUGUCUACUGGCUCUUCACGCCUUGCACAGCCGUCGUGUACACCCAGACAGGGGUGGCGACGACCGUGCUGAGCAAGACGCAGAAGGAUGCCAGCUGCAGAGACAGCCCUGCCCAUGUUCCUAUGCUCAUCGCGAAGCACCUGCCGUCGCGUGACCUCAUGCCCUUCAGCUUCACCCUCCUGGAGAAGGGGGAGUGUGCUGACCAGCUGGCGGGCGUCAUGGAGGCAGUGCUGAGAGAGAGAGAAUCAGAGCUACAAGGCCAAGUAAUGGAUCUGCACGCAGCUCUUUCCUACACACUGUGCCCACCCUGGGCGGGGGGGGGGGAUGGCUGAGUGAAGGGACAAGAGACAUCCUACACCUACUGGCCAGACAGCACACCGAGGCCGCGGUCAGCAUCCUCCUGCAGAUGCCCUGGCCUCAUGAGCACCAGGCCAAGGCCAUCUGGAGAUUCCUAGGUGCAGACUCCACACUGACCAGGGAGGUACUGCACAUCCUGCUGUAUGACAGCCCGGAGAAGGGCCGGGCUAAUGCUAAACAGACCCAGGACAGGAGCUUCCGCCAGCCAGCCCGGCUGCCCCCCGGCGACCACACACGUGGCCUGUGGGAGCUGGUCGGGACCCUGGGGCAAGCAGACACGCUGGAUGGACUCGAGGACGACCUGUUCGCCUCUUGCUUUGUCACCAUUGCCUGCUCCUUGGCACGGCACCUCUCGGGAGCCCAGCAGGACUUGUCCAGUGACGCCAGUCCCUGCAGCAUGGCCGUGCAGGCCCUGGUGCGGGUGCUGCACCUCAGGGGCAGUCAGCCAGUUAUGGAGCUCAUGGACCAGGAGUGAGGCUGGCAGUUGCUAGAGGAGGCCCAGCCCAAGGGGUUCACUCUCCUUAGCAGGGCCAUGGUGAUCCACUCAAAGCAGGCCCUGAAGAGCAUCCCGUGGCUCCUCCUUUCCAGCCUCCAGGCCAGCCAGGAGGGCGAACGCAUGGCCUUCACUGUCCUGUUGGCAGAGCAGUCAGCAGAAUCCUCGGGUAUAAGGGCAGGGUGAAGGGCAGUGGCUUCAGCAGAUGAACUGAGCAUGCGCAGUACAGGUGAACAGCAAUCUGGAGGUCAGGAAUAAUAUUCCAAACUCUCUUGUCUUGAGUGAGGAAAGUGUCUUUCUGAAAACCCAGCUCCUGAUCCCGAUCUCACAUCAUUUUUACACUGGUUUCAGGGUGGUCUUCCUUGUGGUGUCUGUCUACGCCUUGCUGCUCCUGAGCUUUCGCUCAGGUGAGUGGAUGAGGGUAGAGACGAGGGUGUUUUGUGUUUUCUAAGUUCAGAUGAAAUGCUCAUGAGGCAUUUAUGCAUUUGUCUGAAUGUCUAACCCUUGAAAUAUAUGGAGACAUUGCUAUUUCAAUGUGCAGCUGAAUGAUCACAUCCAAAUUAGGAGGGAAAAUGAAAUUAUCUUCAUAGACGCUUAGAAUCACAGAUGUUAGUGAGGUAAAAGACCUACUAGGUCAUAUCUAGUCCAUCCCCAUCUGGGCACCAGAGCAAGAUUAUGCCCUAUCGAAUAUUUUUUCAGUUCUUUGUCCAGUCUAGUUUUCAAUGUAACAAGCAAAGGGGCUUCCACCCCUCUUCCAGGGAGACUAUUCUACAGCCUCAGAAAUCUCACUGUCAGAAAGCAUUUCCUGAGAUUCAACCUAAAUUUUGCUGUGUUUAAUUUCACCCAAUUUCUCCUAGUUACACCUUUUGUAUAUCACCAGAGAUGAUCUCACUUCCUUUUAGUGUUUGCACGUACCAUGAUGGGUUGUUUACUAGCAAAUGGACAGUUUUAUGAAUAUAUUGGAAUAUGGGUAGUUCUAAAUUAUUGUUAGUUUUAAAAAUGUGGUAAAGUACUUGGAAUUAAGAAAUGCACGAUAAAUAUCAAAAUAAAUAAAAUGCUUUUGGCAGACUGUUACCAUGACUCACCUUACGAAUUACUUAGCCCAGGAAAAGAAUUUGUUAAACUGGAGUUAAGAUUAUAAA